rnacentral:tRNA from 1 species
GUCGCGAUCGGGCGCGGGGCCCGCGCGGGUUCGGAGUCCGCGAAACCGGGCUCGGGAUCGGGCUCGGGCUCGGGCUCGACCGUGGUC